AAGCGGUGGAUGAUGUGGUUUAAUUCGAUGCAACGCGAAGAACCUUACCUGGGCUUGACAUCCCGAGAAUCCCCUGGAAACAGGGGAGUGCCUUCGGGGAGCUCGGAGACAGGUGCUGCAUGGCUGUCGUCAGCUCGUGUCGUGAGAUGUUGGGUUAAGUCCCGCAACGAGCGCAACCCUUGUCUUUAAUUGCCAUCAUUGAGUUGGGCACUUUAAUGAGACUGCCGGUGACAAGCCGGAGGAAGGUGGGGAUGACGUCAAGUCCUCAUGGCCCUUAUAGGUGGGGCUACACACGUCAUACAAUGGCUGGUACAAAGGGUUGCCAACCCGCGAGGUGGAGCCAAUCCCUAAAAGCCGAUCGUAGUCCGGAUCGUAGUCUGCAACUCGACUACGUGAAGUCGGAAUCGCUAGUAAUCGCGGAUCAGCAUGUCGCGGUGAAUACGUUCCCGGGUCUU
rnacentral:rRNA from 1 species